rnacentral:rRNA from 1 species
UGGGGAAUAUUGGACAAUGGGGGAAACCCUGAUCCAGCAAUGCCGCGUGAGUGAAGAAGGCCUUAGGGUUGUAAAGCUCUUUCGCCCGCGAAGAUAAUGACGGUAGCGGGAGAAGAAGCCCCGGCUAACUACGUGCCAGCAGCCGCGGUAAUACGUAGGGGGCAAGCGUUGUCCGGAUUUACUGGGUGUAAAGGGCGCGCAGGCGGAAUGGAAAGUCAGUGGUGAAAUCCUACAGCUUAACUGUAGAACUGCCUUUGAUACUUUCAUUUUUGAGUACGGGAGAGAGAGACGGAAUUCCAGGUGUAGUGGUGAAAUACGUAGAUAUCUGGAAGAACACCAGUUGCGAAGGCGGUCUCUUGGUCCGAUACUGACGCUGAGGCGCGAAAGCGUGGGGAGCAAACA